ACGAUGUGUGGAGGAUGCUUGGAGGCACGUGAAGAGCAGUGUUGGUGCCAGCCCGGCGCAAUACGUGCUCGGCACAUUCGUGGACUUCAAAGGAGCAUUCGACAACGUCGAAUGGAGUGCUGCACUCCGCCGACUAGCCGACUUGGGAUGCCGGGAGAUGGGCUUGUGGCAGAGCUUUUUCUCCGGCCGAAGAGCAGUGAUCCGAAGCAGUUCCGGUACUGUGGAUGUACCGGUAACUAGAGGCUGCCCGCAGGGAUCAAUCAGUGGCCCAUUUAUCUGGGACAUACUGAUGGAUGUACUGCUUCAGCGUCUCCAGCCGUAUUGCCAGCUGAGUGCAUACGCGGAUGACUUGCUGCUUCUCGUCGAGGGAAAUUCCCGAGCUAUGCUAGAGGAAAAAGGUGCACAGCUGAUGUCCAUCGUAGAAGCGUGGGGAGCGGAAGUUGGCGUUGCCGUCUCGACCAGCAAGACGGUAAUAAUGCUGCUGAAAGGUACCUUGAGACGUGCGCCUACGGUGAGGUUUGCUGGAGCGAACCUUCCGUAUGUGCGUAGCUGUCGGUACCUUGGCAUCACGGUCAGUGAAGGAAUGAAAUUCCUCACGCACAUAGCUUCGCUUCGCCAGCGAAUGACCGGAGUCGUUGGAGCAUUGGCGCGUGUGCUUCGAGCAGACUGGGGCUUCAGUCCUCGAGCCAGGCGGACCAUAUAUGACGGACUCAUGGCACCUUGUGUGCUGUUUGGUGCCCCGGUAUGGUAUGACACCGCCGAGCAAGUAGCCGCCCGGAGAAGACUAGCCUCCUGCCAGAGGCUAAUCCUGCUUGGAAGCCUCUCGGUGUGCCGAACUGUGUCCACAGUGGCACUGCAGGUACUUGGUGGAGCUCCCCCGCUUGACUUGGCUGCUAAAUUUCUAGCGGUCAAAUACAAGCUGAAGCGUGGAUACCCGCUGGAGGAGAACGACUGGCUAUACGACGAGGACACUACGUGUCUAAGCUGGAAGCAGAGGAAGACGCGCCUAGAAGAGUGCUUACUGCAGAAUUGGCAGAAUAGAUGGGAUGACGACAGCGAGCCAGGACGGGUGACGCACAAGUUCAUCCCAUACGUCACUCUUGCCUAUCGGAAUCCAAGCUUUGGAUUCUCGAUGAGGACGUCUUACCUGCUGACAGGCCACGGGUCGUUUAACGCAUUUUUGCAAGGGAGAGCCCUCAGCGAUACCACUGCUUGCGCUUGUGGAGAUCCAUAUGAGGAUUGGAUGCACAUAUUGUGCGCCUGCCCCCUAUAUGCAGAUUUGCGGAACCUCGAUGGACUUGGAGUGCAGCGCCUUGGCGAAAACUGGACCUUCGAUAGAAUCCUGGAAGAUCAACAGAGGACUCAACAGCUGGCAGAGUUUGCGGACGAGGUGUUCCGUAGGAGGAGGGGCGUUUAGCCCAAAAACUUCGCCGUGUGGUUAGCGGGCGAGAAUACUUCCACAGCCCGCUAUUGCUUGUCGUAAGAGGCGACUAAUAUAGCGAUAGGUUCCUCUAACCGUGCUUGUCGGAGCAAAAGGAGGAGGCCCACCGAGCCUCUCUUUCGGUACCACGGGUUGUGCAGCUAUCCAAGACUGCACAUUGAGGUAGGCCCCCUGGUGGGAGUAUCGUGGUGGCUGUGGUUGGUACCCAUAUCGCGGGUAGAGCCUUCGUGUUCGACGUUUGAGUUGCGGUGCUGGUUGCGCAAAACUCGGGUGCUGUGACCCAGAGAUCAGUAGAGAUUUUAGGUAGAUCUCGCUCCUCAGCAAGGGGGAGUGCUUGCCCGGCAAGCAAGUACUCGAAUUGCUACCGGGGUGGUCGCUAUGUACAUAGCUAUAGCUUCCAGUCCGGGACGCUUGUCUGGCGUAUCCAGACUCAUGCACCAUGUUGAUACAUGCACCACUAGUGGGUGUUCAGGGUGUCGUGGUUGUAAUCCCUUCAGUGUGGAACACGCCACGUAAAACAAGUUCGGAGAGGUCCGAAAGUCACUGUCCCUAUCUACUAUCUAGCGAAACCACAGCCAAGGGAACGGGCUUGGAAUAAUUAGCGGGGAAAGAAGACCCUUUUGAGCUUGACUCUAAUCUGGCAGUGUAAGGAGACAUAAGAGGUGUAGAAUAAGUGGGAGAUAUUAGACCUCGGUUUGGUAUCGUCAAUGAAAUACCACUACUCUUAUUGUUUCCUUACUUACUUGAUUAAAUGGAACGUGUAUCAUUUCCUAGCCAUUAUACGGAUAUAUUUAUUAUAUCUUAUGGUAUUGGGUUUUGAUGCAAGCUUCUUGAUCAAAGUAUCACGAGUUUGUUAUAUAAUCGCAAACAAAUUCUUUAAUAAAACGAUGCAUUUAUGUAUUUUUGAUUUGAAAAUUUGGUAUAACUCCAAUUACUCAGGUAUGAUCCAAUUCAAGGACAUUGCCAGGUAGGGAGUUUGACUGGGGCGGUACAUCUCUCAAAUAAUAACGGAGGUGUCCCAAGGCCAGCUCAGUGCGGACAGAAACCACACAUAGAGCAAAAGGGCAAAUGCUGACUUGAUCUCGGUGUUCAGUACACACAGGGACAGCAAAAGCUCGGCCUAUCGAUCCUUUUGGUUUAAAGAGUUUUUAACAAGAGGUGUCAGAAAAGUUACCAUAGGGAUAACUGGCUUGUGGCGGCCAAGCGUUCAUAGCGACGUCGCUUUUUGAUCCUUCGAUGUCGGCUCUUCCUAUCAUUGUGAAGC
rnacentral:rRNA from 1 species